AGGAUGAGGAAAUAUAAAACAAUUAAAGGGCAGAAAAGGACAAACUAAAUUAAAGUGAAUCAGAUUAAAAACCACACCAAUUUAAGGACUUAAGUAGAGCCUUCAUCUGUUAUCACCACUCUCAAAGUGAAUUACUAAGUUUUCAAGAUGUAUUGUACACUACUGCAUUAACCAAGAUGCAGCUCUGCACGAACUCUUUCCUGAUCUUCCCAACUAUCUUGUUUUUAACUACUAGGUGUACCAGUACCAGGACUCGGGUUGUCCAUUUUACCCUCAUCUUCACUAUAAAAGUCCCUAUCUGCUGCUUUCCUUUAUCAUGCAUUUCCUUAAUGAAACCAGUCUACAAAGCCCUGAUUAGGAGAACACAAAGUAACCCAGAACAUUGUAUGGGUAGGCCAAGAGAGUAUAAGAUAUCAUCAGGUUCUACUGUGCUGCAAAAGUAUCUAAGAUUCCAGGAGGUAUUUACAAGACAAAUCUCGAAAAAGACAUUAAGGUAUUUAUCAACAAUAAAUUGACUACUUAGUGAAAAAUCUUUGGUCAUCACAACCUAUUAAGACUCAAGACUCCUAAAAAUACUGAGAAAUAUUCACAAAAUAGGGGCAGCUAGGUGGCUCAGUGGAUUGAGAGUCAGGUCUAGAGAUGGGAGGUCCUGGGUUCAAAUUUGUACUCAGACACUUUUGAGCUGUGUGAUCCUGGGCAAAGUCACGUAACUCCCAUUACCUAAUCCUUACUGUCUUACUUAGCUCUUCUGUCUUAGAACCAAUAUACAGCAUUGAUUCUAAGGUGGAAGGUAAGGGUUUUGAAAAGAAAAGAAAUGGUCACAAAAUGACUAAAAGAGGGUGGUCAACAUAAAAUAAACUAUGGAAACUUUCUAUAACCACAGAUGCUAAAUUGAAGAAAGGACAAAGUAGUCAGGGAUGUA